ensembl:lncRNA
UCCCUUUUCCAGGGAAUCUUCCUGUCCCAGGGAUUUGAUCCCAGGUCUCCUUCAUGCAGACAAAUCCUUUACCAUUAGAGCCACCAGGUAUGUGGAAUAAGAGACUGCAAAUCCAAUGCUUUCCAUUUAAUAAGGUGACAAUUAAAAAAGCAAGUGCAUCCACAGUUCUGUAAUUAUGUCCAAAUGAUCAGGCUUAAUGGUUUGGGUGGGAAAAAAAACCUCACUGAUUUUGGUUCACUGUAAGGUAUGGGAGGCAGCAUCUAAAAAUUCAGGGAAAUUUUACUCCGAAGGAAUAAAAUGGAUUCAUUCAACAAGCGUCUAAUGAAGGUCUGCUGAAUGCGAAGAAUGGACAGCAGUGAAGAGUACGCAUGUGGACGCUGUAACUCAGGACUUAAAUAUUAAUAGAAAAGCAGACAUGAGAUAAACUUCAAACUUAAAUGUUGCACCACAAUUGGGAUAAACACAGAAUGCCAUAUGUUCACAUAACAAGGAGACCUGAGCUGUGUCGGAGUCAGGAAAGGAAAGGGCAUUUAUAAAGAGCUUUAGCCAUAUGUGAAAAUAUAGAGUGAGAAGAAAAGACACAUGAGAAUUGAACCUUCAAGUAGUUUAAUCUACUUGGUAAAAUUUAUGAUAACUAGACAAUGAAUACAAGGUGGAAUAUGGUCAGUACUGUGAAAGAGAUAAGAAUGAAAUUUUUCAGAGCAUAGGAGAUAUUCCAUUUGUCUGGGAAUUUGGUAGAGAUUCAGUUAAACUUAGGCAACUUGGUUUCUGCUUUUGCCAUUGAGUUUUAUGAGUUUAGAAAAGUGAUUUAAUCAUUCUUGGCUUUAUUUAUAUAUCUCUAAAAUGGGAGGAUUGUCUAGUUGAUUUCCAAGGUUUUUCAUUUUCUGAAUAUCCAGUUAAUCCCACUGGGCAAUUAUCUGGAAUAAAAGCCCCUUUUACCUGCCAAGAGUAAUGACUGAUGUAGCUAAAAAAAGAAAUUAUAUAAAAAAGUAUUGAAAUCAUUGAUUUUUUUUUCUUUUUUCAAUUUCAUUGAAAUAUAAUGAACAAACUUGCAGGAUAUUUAAAGUAUACAUGAUGAUUUAAGCAUGUAUAUAUUAUUAAAGAAUUCCCCCAUCAGGUUAAUUACACAUCUAUUAAUAUCACCUCACAUAUUUACCUUUUUGAGAUCUUUCUUGGUGAGAACAUUAAAGUUUUACUUUCUUGCAUGCCUGC